AUGAUUAAUUCAUUAAAUAUAUAAUUCCAUUCAGAAAGUUAAUGAACUCAGAUAAUGGCAAAAUAAGUAUCAACACUGGAUUUACAAUAAUUUCAGAAGCCAAGCGUUAAUUGGAAGUUUAUCAUCAUAGUAAU
rnacentral:snRNA from 1 species